UUUUGUUGUUUGAAUCUACGUUAUGUGUUUGUGUCUAUAGUCUGUAUAGAACAUGGGAAGCAUCUACUCUUAAGGGGUUAUUUGGUUGAGAAUAACUAGAAUAAGUUAUUCUGGGAUAACUAAUCUAAUGAUUAGUUAUUCCACAUAGGUGAUAACUAAUUCCAUCACUUAAAUAAUUUCUGGACUAAGUAAUGCCUUCAUCCAAACGUAGGAUAAGUAAUCCUGCAUUUUAUUCCAAAACUAUUGCACCUUAUACCUCUAAUGUCUAUAAAUUUCUUGCAUCUCUAUGUGCUCAAAAAGGUUGUUGACGCUUCUUCAAAUCAAUCUCCAGAUCAGUCAAAGAACAAGCUGAAAAUAGUGAUUUAUGGGAUUAUUCUAAAUUUUAUCAUCCAGAAAUUUGGGUAGAUUCACAAAUGGAUUUGAACUUAACAAGGCAGUCAACUAGAACUCACGGAGGUGUACAUGUUGAAUCUGUUGAUUGACCUUCUUUUACAGCAAAGAAAGGAAUCCAUUUUGAAAGAGAAGUCAUGAAGAAUUAUGUAGUUUUGUUGAAGAAGAAGAAGAGAAACUUUAGUAAAAUAUAGGGAUUAUGCAUUCAUUUUUUUUGUUAGUUAUGUGAAACAAUUAUUUAGACACGUUAUGUGUUUUCUUUUGCUAAAAUCUCUGUGGUCAUAUUAUGGUGUGGUACAGUGUGAUGUUGCCACUUGCCUAUAAAAUAUUAUUUAGCUGUAAAUUAUAGCAAGUUAUGACACUUUUUUAAAGUAUUGAUGCUAAAAUUUGUUAUUUUGAAGGCCAAAUUUGUUUGUGCAUAUAGUUUGGUAAGGUAGUGAAGAAAAUUUGCUAUUA